UACGUAGGCAGCGAGCGUUGUUCGGAGUUACUGGGCGUAAAGGGUGUGUAGGCGGUUGUUUAAGUUUGGUGUGAAAUCUCCCGGCUCAACUGGGAGGGUGCGCCGAAUACUGAAUGACUUGGAGUGUGGGAGAGGUGAGUGGAAUUCCUGGUGUAGCGGUGAAAUGCGUAGAUAUCAGGAGGAACACCGGUGGUGUAGACGGCUCACUGGACCAUAACUGACGCUGAAACACGAAAGCGUGGGUAGCAAACAGG
rnacentral:rRNA from 1 species